CAGAUGCCAGCGACGUCAGUGGAACAGCCUCAGGCCAACGGGUGGUCCUGUCAACCAUGGUCAACAGACGAGGAUUCCUCCUCCUGUGGCGUGGCGUCAUUAUGAUCUUGAAUUAUGAACAAAACUGAAGUAUUUGAUCACUUCCUGCUCGAUCUGCUCCGGUGGAAAUGGUCUCAUUGAUUAGCGUGGAAGCGAUCAGCAGCGGUGACCGCGGCGCGUACGCCUCCGGUGGAAUCGAGCCUUGAGGUACUUGCAGAUUUUCGAAAGAUUAAGACAAAAAGGGGGCGUGCCUUGGAGAAAUGCCGCAAGAGAGCUGGGAUCUUCGACUUUCGACUCGGAAGUCUGGCGUUCGAGGAUUCAGGAACGCACCUUUACCUCACUAUACUUUCAAA
ensembl:lncRNA